AGUGAACGCUGGCGGUAGGCCUAACACAUGCAAGUCGAACGGCAGCACAGUAAGAGCUUGCUCUUACGGGUGGCGAGUGGCGGACGGGUGAGGAAUACAUCGGAAUCUACUUUUUCGUGGGGGAUAACGUAGGGAAACUUACGCUAAUACCGCAUACGACCUACGGGUGAAAGCAGGGGAUCUUCGGACCUUGCGCGAUUGAAUGAGCCGAUGUCGGAUUAGCUAGUUGGCGGGGUAAAGGCCCACCAAGGCGACGAUCCGUAGCUGGCCUGAGAGGACGAUCAGCCACACUGGAACUGAGACACGGUCCAGACUCCUACGGGAGGCAGCAGUGGGGAAUAUUGGACAAUGGGCGCAAGCCUGAUCCAGCCAUACCGCGUGGGUGAAGAAGGCCUUCGGGUUGUAAAGCCCUUUUGUUGGGAAAGAAAAGCAGCAGGUUAAUACCCCGCUGUUCUGACGGUACCCAAAGAAUAAGCACCGGCUAACUUCGUG
rnacentral:rRNA from 1 species